CUCACUUAGGGGUAAGCAAACUCAUCCAGACGUUUUCAAAAACUAAAUAUUAUGUCACAGGUCUCAAGUAUCUCAUGGAACAGAUAGUGCACUGAUGUAUACCAUGCCAAAAGGUAACUGUUUUCAGGAAAGUUGACUCUGGUAGGAGGCUCCGUGGGGAACGGCCUGGAUCCUACUGAGAAGUGGACUUCACAGAGAUAAAACCAGGAAAAUAUGGUUAUAAAUGUCUCCCAGUGUUUAUAGAUAUCUUUUCAGGAAUAGAUAGAAGCUUUCCUCACCAAACGAGAGACGGCCUCUACAAUCAUCAAGAAGAUACUAGAAGAAAUCUUCCCCCGAUUUAAAAUGCCCAAGGUAAUCUGGUCAGACAAUGGCCCUACUUUCGUUGCCAAGGUAAGCCAGGGUGUGGCCAAGUAUUUAGAGGUCGAUUAGAAAUUACAUUGUAUUUACAGACCUCAAAGUUCAGGACAGGUAGAAUAAAUAAAUAAAAUUUUAAAAGAGACACUGACCAAAUUGACCGUGGAGACUGGCACAGACUGGGUGACACUCCUUCCCUCUUGCUCUCUUCAGAGCAAAAAAUAUCCCUUCCAGAUUCAGCCUUAUCCCCUUUGAGAUCUUAUAUGGGGCCUCAGCUCCCCUGACUGUAUUAGAUGAUGUUACUAAACCAACAUGUCAUAGUAAUAAUGAUUUAUAUGCCAGGCUAAAAGACCUACAGGUGAUACAGAAAGAAAUCUGCUCACAGCCGACAGCAGCCUAUGCCCCGGAGACCCCUGAGACAUGUCAUCAGUUCCAGGUUAGAGACUGCAGCUACACUGAGCCCAGACACUCGAGCCUCGCUGGAAAGGACCGUACCUGGUGCUGCUGAUCACCCUGACAGCCGUCAAUUCUCAGCCCUCACCAGCAGCGUACUAGCUGUUGGGGCUGAGAGCUGGGACCUAGAGGGACACUCAGAUCUUCAAAAAGCUCCCUAGACUUACACAUCAGAUAAGUGGAUACAUCAGAGACGUGACUGGGAGGUUGCUAUAAUGCUUACUUAAAGAGUGUGCUUUAGAAACAAAAAUUUCAUGUUUGCCUGUUUGCCCUGGGUUCCCUCAAAAUAGAUAUAGAGAUAGGCUUGAUUUUUAUUGCAAAUGGUGUAACAUUACAUAUGUUAGUACUCCUAACACUUCUUGGGACUGUGCCUCAGGGAUCACAACCUAUAUAAGUUUAGAAGUUCUAAAAGACCUUGAUUUAUAGGUUCAGAUAGUGUCCAGAUUAAGAAUCCUGAUGCUAAAGACUUAAUAAGACACAAAAGAGAGUUAAAAAUUAUUUAAGGCUAUCUAGGUGCUACAAGGACAACACAAGGACAUCUGCUGUUGCCCUAUAAUGCAAGGCUUAUAGAAAAUUCAAAACUGCCAUUGACUCAGAUAU
rnacentral:misc_RNA from 1 species